GAUGAAGAACGCAGCGAAAUGCGAUAAGUAGUGUGAAUUGCAGAAUUCAGUGAAUCAUCGAAUCUUUGAACGCACAUUGCGCCCGCCAGCAUUCUGGCGGGCAUGCCUGUUCGAGCGUCAUUUCAACCCUCGAGCCCCCCCGGGGGCCUCGGUGUUGGGGGACGGCACACCAGCCGCCCCCGAAAUGCAGUGGCGACCCCGCCGCAGCCUCCCCUGCGUAGUAGCACACACCUCGCACCGGAGCGCGGAGGCGGUCACGCCGUAAAACGCCCAACUUUCUUAGAGUUGACCUCGGAUCAGGUAGGAAUACCCGCUGAACUUAAGCAUAUCAAUAAGCAGAGGA
rnacentral:misc_RNA from 1 species